rnacentral:sRNA from 1 species
UGAGCUUCGUCAGAUGGCUUCGGCCUAGUU